UUGUAAACUGGAGUUGGUGGUGAUGGUGAUUUGUAGACUGAGUGUGUAGAGAGUAGUAUGACUCCUUAGGUGGUGGUGGUGAAUUGUAAAUGGGAGUUGGUGGUGGCAGAGACUUAUAAACUGGUGCGGGAUUGAUAUAGCUCCUUGGGUGUGGAGGCGAUAUGUAGACUAGGGUUGGUGGAGGUGGUGACUUGUUGACUGGGUGUGUGGAGGGUAGUAAGGCUCCUUAGUAGUGGUGGCGACUUGUAAACUGUAGUCGGUAGAGGCGGUGACUUGUAGAUUGGGGUAUGAGGAGGGUAGUAUGGCUCCUUAAGUGGUUGUGGUGACUUGUAAACUGGAGUCGGCGAAGGUGGCGACUUAUAGACUGGGUGUUUGGAGGGUAGUAAGGCUCUUUGGGUGGGGGUGGCAACGUAUAAACUUGAGUUAGUGGAAGUGGUGAUUUGUAGACUGGGUGUGUGGGGGAUAGUAUGGCUCCUUAGGUAGUAGUGGUGAUUGGUAAAUAGGAGCCGGUGGAAAUGGCGACUUAUAGACUGGGUGUGUGGAGGGUAGUAAGGCUCUUUUGGUGGGGGUGACGACUUGUAAACUGGAGUUGAUGGAGGUGGCAAUUUGUAGACUGGGGUGUGUGGAGGAUAGUAUGGCUCCUUGGGUGGUGAUGGUGGUGACUAGUAAAGCGGAGUUGAAGGUGAUGGUGAUUUAUAAAGUGGUGCAGGAUGAUAAGGUGUUGGUGAAGGAUGGUAUGGCUCUUUUGGUGAUGGUGGAGAUAAAUAUUGAUAAUUUGCUGAGCUUUGGGAAGCCAAGCAAAGUGACACAAAAACCACUAAAAGAGUGGAAAAUAGAGAGGCCAUUUCUCCCAAAAAGAAACAAAGGAGAGAAGUUGUUGUCCCUUUAAGCUGCACUCAAAGCCCUUUGUAUAGCUUUCAUUUAGAAGGUAUAAGGCUAAAGUUAUGUAUUUUUAAUUAGUUUUGUCAUGUUGUCGGUUCAAUUUGACCUUUGUUGGUAUACUUUUUUUUUUUUGUUGGAUAGAAGGUGCAAGCUAAGCAAAGAAAUUAACUACUAUGGCAGCUAUACUAUUUAUGAUGCAAUAAUUCAAAAAAAAAUACGUGGAUCCCACAACUUCCCACAAGAUUUUAGUUAUAGGAAUCUGAGCACUUUUUUUUUACACUUAGGGUGUGUAUGGUACGAUGGAAAAUAUUUUCUGAAAAAUGUUGGUUGUAGUAAAAAAUAUUUUCUAAGAUAAUUCAUUUUUUCCUAUUUGAGGGAAAAUGACUUCCCUCAUGGACCAAGGGAAGUUAUUUUUCGGAAAAUGAUAAAUGUGACUUAUGCCCCCAUCCUCACCCCUCUUCCCACCCCAACAACACUCAUAUUCACAUAACUCAAAAAAUUCACAUUUUUAAAAAAUUUAUUUUACUCAAAAUAUUUUUCACUGUGCUUUGCUUCAAUUUUUCACUGCUUGAAAUAAAAAAUAGUGAAGCCCGACUUUUUUUCAUUUCCAAUGUUCGUUGAAUGUAUUGUUAUUUUCAUAUGCAUAGAGGAAGACUUACCUAUGUUACUUUUGCUAAUUGCAUAUUUUAUUUUGUCAUCGAUGUUACUUCUUUCACGAGGUUGAAUAAGCUUAUCGUCCCGUUAUAUUUCUAUUGAUUGUAGUAUCUUGAGAUUGUCCUGAAAAAAUGUUGAAAAGUGUCUCCUAUAUUUGCUAAUUAAUAGUUGCUUAAAUUUAGUGAUUGUAAUAUUUUAGUAUUCGAUAUUGAUAUUAUUUAUUAUGCUUAAAUUAGUUCUUACAAAUUGUUGAGUUGCUAGAUGCACUGAUAUACUAGUUAACAGUUAGUAGUAUUUUCUAAAAAAAAAAAUUUCACUCACCAAUCAAACACUAGAAAAUAUUUUUCUAAAAAAUAUUUUCUACUCACCAACCAAACACCAUAAAAUAUUUUUCGAAAAUAUUUUUCACUCACCAACCAAACAUGAGAAAAUAAAUAGAAAACCAACUUAUUUUCCAAGAAAACAUUUUUCAUGAAAAAUAUUUUCCAUCGUACCAAACACACCCUUAGUAUUUGAAGAAUUCAAUUCUUGUGGAUUCUGACAGCUUAACUAACCUUCACUUAAGUGCUGAGAAAUUUAAAACAAUAUGUAUACAGUAUCAUAUAUUCUUUAAAAGAAAUGAUAUGUCAUUGUUAAAAGAGUUUAAUCUAGAGAAAACUGUGCAUGUGACUCGCUUUCAUUACCAACUAAAUCAAUUAUGUUCUUUCCUUUUGUGUAGUAGAGCUAAAAGAAACAUCAACCGAUUAUUUUGUAGCUCAAUGUUGAAAACUUAUGUGGUUCAAUAUGAUAUCUCUGAAAAUUUUACAGCUUGUUUGAUAGCUGCUGCCUAAUAAUGUAUUGUAUCGUGUUGCUAGUUUAAAUAUAAUGUGUAUUUUGAUUGUUUCUUAAAUUUUACUGUAUCAUUAAAUCUAUAACUAGAUAGCAAUAAAAAGUCUCAUUUGGUGUAACGACCUAUUUGAUGUGAUCGCGUUGUUACCUUUUUUCCCCUUUUUAUUUAUUAUUUAAUUAUCUUAAUGCUCCUUUAUCCUAUAUUUUUAUAGUAACUCUACCUCACAUUUUUCUAUUUUCCUUCUAGGCUUAUCCUUGAACUGUUAUAUGAAGGAUGCAAUGUAAUGACGAAAAAGGUAUAAUAAAUCCAAAUAUCGUAACAUUCACUAAAAUAAUAAAGUACAUACAAUACAACAUGAUACUUUAUGAAACAAUAUCAUUCCAAGUUAAGGACUUGAUUAGAAUGUGCAUGUUAAGUGUCUGAUGGGUUACUUAAGUAUAAAGUUCAAGUCCAUAUAAAAAGAUAAACCCUAAUUAUAAUGCCUUCAUCAUGGCUGGUCGACAGUAGUCUACUACUGAAUUUCCUCCUUUGAACCCAAAUUCUAUUGUGAAUAUCCAAACCCUACCGUUGGAUAAAUCUUUUGUUGAAUCAAUCAGUACAACAAAGUUGGACACCGUCUCUCGCAAAGAGGUGGUCAUGGUGGAAGGAAUCCCGAAUGUCACACUGAAAAAAGUGGAUACAGUGAAUAAAAUGGAGAAUUUGCAAUUUGUUGUCAUAGGUAAAUUCACUUAAGAAUGGACGGGUAUAGAAGAAUUAAGGAAUAUUAUCCCACAGCAAUGCAACAUUAAUGGUGAUUGUCAAAUUGGAGUAUUCAGAAAUAAACAUAUUUUCAUUCGUUAGACACAGGAGUCGGAUUUUAUUAAUAUCAUCAUCUCAAAGGGAGCUUUUUCCUUGCACUGUAAGGAUGGGUUCUCUUAUUUGAUGCGAACACUCUCACACUUAUCUAUGAUCCCCUUUUCAAAGAAACUUUAGAGACUACAAAGACUUUCGCAUGGAUUUCUUUCCCAAAUCUAUUGCCUACCUAUUAUGUCAAGGAAUGUUUGUUUUCUUUAGCUGCAACAGUGGGAAAGCCUGUCCAACUUGAUCUAGCCACCAUUAAUAGGACUAGACCAAGUUGUGCAAGGAUUAAGGUCUUGGUUGAUCUAAAAGCUGAUUUCUCUAAAUCAGUCCGGAUGGAUAUUGAAAAUGAAGAGUCAGGUAAAUGCAGGACAAUAGUGAAGCGGAUUAAAUUCGACCAUAUUCCUAAGUAUUGUCAUGAAUGCAAUAUGCAAGUUCAUGCUAAGAAUCAAUGUAGAAACUUAGGCACCCCAGAGGAUGCAACAAUGGCAGUAACAGUGGAUAAUAAGGAAUAAAAGAGGCCAGUACAACAUCUUCCUAAAUUCACAAUGCCUUUUGUACACAAAUUUCAAAACGGAAAAGCAUGAGUUCUUUCGAGUGGGAUUGUAGUUGGAGAUCCUACUAACUGGAUGGUUAUUAAAAAUGAUAAGAGGAUAGUUAAUACUUCCCAACAGCCUCUUUUAAUGAUAUAGUUAAUACUUCCCAACAGCCUCUUUCAAUGACAAAUAACCAAUUUGCUGCUCUAGCUACCGACGACAAAGAACCUGCUGAAUUAAACAUUUCGACAAAGGAGAGUUCAAACCUUAAGGCAUGUACGGAUGUGUUCCAAAUAAUAAGGAAAAUGAAAAAGUUAAUCUGUGGUCCAAUAAAGAAUCUGCUAAAGAGUGGGUAUCAAGGGAUUUUGGCAAGCUAGGUGAAGUUCCCAAUUCUGUAAUACCUGUACAGCAACAAGGCAGUCAGCAACUAAGUAAUCAACAACAAAGGCAAGAUAGAGAUAAUAAUGCUAAAGAGAAUAAUAAAGAUGGUAAUGGGAUGGAGAAUGAUAUGCAGGUUAAAUCUUUAAUAAAUCAGGAGCAUAAUAUUGAUGAUGGUCAGCAACAAUGCCUCAUAGUCAAAAAGGACAAUCUGCAAUCUAUAGAAGAUGUGCAACCAGAUACCAAGCAAUAGUCAAUGCAGAUUAAUCAAGAUUUUUACAGUGGAAGCUAUGAUAAUGGAGAUAGGUCAGUUGAGGAAAGUGUGGGGAUAACAGUUGUGAUGCAAGGGGAACAAAAUGUGUGUUUAGAAAUAAUGGAGAUUCCAAAACCAGUGCAGAUAGAUGAAUCAUUUAUCGUUACCAAGAGUUCUCCCAACAAAGUAAUACAUGACAUUGUCUCUCAUAGUUUAGGGUACAUUAAAUGCAGUAAUCAAACUCACAUGGCCAAAGGAGUUAAAGAAGUAGAUGUAGAAGAUGAUUCGAAGGAUCAUGCUCCAUCGGAAGCUGAUUUAUCACCAAGACUGAUGAAAAUCUCUAAAAAAGGAUAAAAAAGAAUGUGGAUGGGAGAAAACUCACAACCUACCAGAGUUCAUCCUAAGCGAUCCAAAUCUGCCCUAAAUUAUCAAUGAAAGCACUUAUUUGGAACAUUAGGUCUGUGAAGACACAACAAGAUUUCAAAGACUUCAGAUGCUUAAUAAUUAUCAUAAGUUCACCGGUUUCAGUUUGUUAGAGCCUUUUCAGAAUGUUAGAUAUAAGAGAAGAUUGAAAAUGCAUAGGGCUAUGUCAAACUGCAAUAGCAAGAUUUGGUUUUUCUCCUCUCAAGAUGUGAUAACAACUGUUAUUAAAGACACUGAUCAUCAGCUACAGUUCACUUGCAGGAGUAGGCUCAGAGCUUAGAUUUAUUACUCUUGUUUAUGCAAAGUGUUCUAAAGAGGAGAGAUUAAUCUUAUGGAAGGAUAUUUAUCAAGUUGCUUCUGGAAUUUCAAAACCUUGGAUGCUAGGAGGAGAUUUAAUGUUGUUUUGAAUUCUGAAGAGAAAAUUGGUGGCCUUCCAAUUCUUGAUGCAGGCCAUGGGGACUUUCAAUCAUGUAUUUCUUAUUGUGAUUUGAUGGAGAUACCUUUUAAAGAAAGUUCUUUCACUUGGUGGAAUGGUAGAGCAGGUAAUGACUGUAUUUUAGAAAGAUUGGAUAGAAUUUUUACUAAUCAACAACAACAACAACAACAACAACAACAACAACAAACCCAGUGUAUUCCCACCUAGUGGGGUCUGGGGGGGUAAGAUGUACGCAGUCCAUACCUCUACCUCUGCUGAAUUUUUACUAAUCAAGAUUUACAAAAUAAGUUCAAUCACAUGAAGGUAGAACAUCUUGCUACUAGUUCAGAUCAUGCUCCCAUGUUGUUGUAUUGUUAUGACAGAGCUAUCAGUUACAAGAAAUCUUUUAGAUUUCUUAAGUUUUGGACUGAUCAUCCUAAGUUCCUAGAAGUAGUAAGGCAGAAUUGGUGUUCUUCAGGUUCUCAGAGUCCAUUCUUAGAUUUCAAAGCAAAGAUUAAGAGAAUUAAAGUUGCUUUGACAAGAUGGAGUAAAGAGACUUCUGGGGAUAUUUUUAAAUAGUUGAUAAUCAGGGAAGAAAUUGUCAAGAUCAAAGAGAAAUUAUUUGAGGAAUGCCCUACGGCUGAUAACAGCGAAGUGUUGCAAAGAGCUCAGUCCGAGCACAAAAUAUAUCUUCGUUUUGAAGAGAUUUUUUGGCAGCAAAAAGCAGGUUAUGACUGGUUUGAGAAUGGUGACAGAAAUAUUAAAUUUUUUCAUAGCACUGUGAAGGGGAGGAGGAAAAGAUUGAAUUUGAAUAGAAUUCAAAUUAAUCAGGGUAUUUGGCUGGAUAAAGAAGAAAAGAUAGCCGCAGAGGUUGUUAUGUUUUAUCAGGACCAAUUUAGACAAGAACAAGAGGCUAAUGUUUUUUCAUAACUGAAUAAUAUACCUAAGAGUAUUUCUGAUGAGCAAAAUAUUGUUUUAAGUCAGUAAGCUGAUCUUGAAGAAGUUAAAAAGGCACUUUUUAGCUUAAAUGAAUAUAGUGCAAGUGGCCCGGAUGGGUUAACAAGUAGGUUCUAUCAGGUUCGCUGGGAUAUUAUUGGUAAUGAUGUUCUUAAUCUGGUGCAAGAUUUCUUAAAAGGUAAUACUCUUCCCAAAUUCAUUAUUCAUACUAAUUUGGUGUUGCUUCCCAAGAAGGAUUUUAUUCAAUUUUUCUCAGAUUUGAGACCAAUUAGUCUUAAGUAAUUUUAUUAAUAAGAUCAUUUCUAGGAUUGUGCAUGACAAAAGUGAACUUCUUUUGCCUAGACUGAUUUCUUUUAAUCAAUCUAAAUUUGUCAAAGAGAGAAGAAUUAUUAAAAAUUUCCUCCUGACUCAAGAGAUAGUUACUGACAUCAGAAAAAUGGGUAAGCCGGCUAAUGUGGUCUUAAAGCUUGAUAUGACUAAGGCUUAUGAUAGGGUUUCCUGGUUUUUCCUGAUGAAGGUUCUAAGAAAAAUAGGGUUCUCAAAAUUGUUUAUGGACUUGUUUUGGAGAUUAUUGUCUAAUAAUUGGUAUUCUAUACUAAUUAAUGGGCGAUCACACGGCUUUUUUCACUCAACUAGGGGAGUAAAACAAAGAAAUCCUUUAUCUCCAGCUUUCUAUUUGAUGAUGCUCAAUAUGUAGGUUAUGAUAUGCCAAAGUGGAGUUCCAAUAUUAAUCAUCUUGCUUAUGCAGAUGACACUAUUAUAUUCGCUGCAGCUAACAGAUACUCUUUGAGAAAGAUUUUUUCAGUGUUACGGGAAUAUGAAACUCAAUCAGGGCAAAAAGUUAAUAAAGAGAAGAAUGCUUUCUACAUGCAUCAGAAUUCAGCUGCAGUUGAUAAACAAAUGGUGGAAGAUUGUGCGGCUAUUUCUAAAGGCCAAUUUCCUUUGAAAUACCUUGAAUGUCCUAUCACUCAUGCUAGAAAAAGAAAGAGUCAUUAUUCAGAGCUAAUUCAGAAGGUUAAGUCAAAAUUACAGGCUUGAAAAGGUAAUAUUCUCUCAUAUGGGGGGAAAGGAGGUCCUUAUCUCUAGUGUUCUUCAAAGUGUUCCUAUACAUAUCCUUUCUGUUGUUGUCCCUCCUAUUUGUGUAUUGAAGGAGCUUCACAGAAUAUUUGCAAAUUUUUUUGGAGUAAUAAGGCCGAUGGAAGAAACAAACACUGGGCUGCUUGGGUAAAGGUGUUUUUACCAAAACAGAAGGCAGUUUGAGUUUUAGAUCGAUGUUUGAGGUAUCUCAAGCCAUGUAUCCUAAGUUCUGGUGGAAGUUCAGAACUCAAAAUACUACUUGGUCCAACUUUAUAUGAGACAAGUAUUGCAAAAAGCAAAUACCUUCACUAGUUUAAUGGAAAGGUGGCUCGCAAGUAAGGAAGCAUAUGUUGCAAAAUAGGGAUCUAGUGGAGCAAUUCUUGUGGUGGAACCUAAAGGAGGUACUUCUACAGUUUGGUAUGAUAAUUGGACUCAACUUGGUCCUCUUUUCAAACACCAGGUAGAGGUCAUUCUUCUUUUCCAGUGAUGGAUAUUGAGGAAUUCAUGUUGGGCUCAGACUGGGAUUUUGAGAAUAUGCAAUAUCAUUUAUCAGAUAAUGUAGUAGAGCAUGUAAGAUUACAUUUGAGGCUUGUACGACAUCCUGGAGAAGGUGACAAGCCCUGGUGGAUUAAAUUUAGUUCUGGCAAGUUCUCGGUUAAAAGUGCUUGGGAAGAACGGAGGAAAAAAACGUUUGUAAUGAGUCAUUUCAGAAGAUCUGGGUAAAAGAGAUUCCUUUCAAAAUUUCUUACUUUGGUUGGAGAGUUUGGACAAAUAGGAUUCCUGUAGCCUCUGUUUUAGCUAAUUGGAAUCCUAACUUGUCUCCUCUUUAUUCAUAUUGUGUUUCAAGAAAUCAUGGAGCACCUCUUUCUAAAAGGUGAAGUGGUUUAUUUCGGUUUGGAUUUAUUACGCCAAUGCUGCAGGUAUUCUGGGGCCCUGGGUUCAAAUUAAACUAUCCAUAAAGAAGUGGUGGGAUAUAAAUGGUAAUUAAAGACAAAGAUUCAUCUUUCAGGUAGUUCCUACUCUCAUUUUGUGGUUUUUACGGAAAAGAAGGAAUGCAUUAGUUCAUGGAGGUUCAUACUCUACAGCCAAGGUUAUUUGGGAUAUUAAUGGUUUAAUUAAGAAAAUUCUCAGAAAGAAGUUUGGUUAUGAUCAGUUACCAUCUAGUUGGCCUCAAAUAGUUGCUUUUUGACUUAUUUAGACCUACAUUUUUAUCUAGAUGGAUAAGAUGGUAUCCCCCACCUAGGGGAUAGUGGAAAUAUAACACUGAUGGAACCUCGAGAGGUAAUCUAGGUCGAAUUUCAGCUGAUUUUUGUGUACGAAAUCAUGUAGGUGAUCUUGUGUAUGCUAAGGGUUUCUCUAUUCCAGAUUCCACUAAUCUGGUUGUUAAAGUCAUUGCUAUAGGAGUUGGUUUACAUUAUUGCUUAGAAAAUCAAAUUGUCAACAUUAUUGUGGAAUCUGAUUCCCUUGUAGUAGUCAACAUGAUUAAUGGAGUGUGGGAAAUUCCUUAGAGUGUGAUAAUGGAGGUCAACUCCAUUAAAGAUAUGAUGGAUUCUUGUUCAGCAAGAGUACAACACUCCUUAGGAAAGGGAAAUACUCUUGCUGAUUAUUUAGCUAACUUGGUUUUUCAUUUUGCAGGUAACUUUGAAUUCAACAGUUUUCAUGAAAUUCCAAGCGCAGGUAGGAAGAUUAUCAAUCUAGACAAACAAGGCAUUCCACAAAUGAGGAUAAGACAGUGUACAUCAACUAAUUCAACAAGGGAUGGAUCGCUACUGCAGAUUACAAAGUGAAUUUACAAACUCUAUUAGCAGUGACUAGUUACUGGUGAAUUUAGUGCAGUCUGAAUUAGUUUCGUUUGGUUAACAUACCAUGCACCUGUGGGAAUUUUUAGGUGUUACAUAGAGUAUAAACCCAGGACUCACUUAUACUAGUUGCUAAUUUCUAGGUAUAGAGUUUAUAAAAAUCAAGCACAAAUUUAGAGGCAUUUCAUAGUCUCAAAUCUGUUGAUGAGGAGAGGAUGGAGUACCCGGGACCUCAAAUUUAGCGGCGGAAGAUAGACAGGGUAUAAUUAUCAAGCAAUACAAUUCUUUUAUACAGAUUCCACUUCAGAGAAGAACAAAAAUAAUCAUUGCCAACUUAUGGAUUGCAAAGUGUCAAAAUACAAAUUUCAGCAUUUGGAGUAACACAAGAAGGCAAGGAGCAAGAUAAGUAUUAAUGGACAGUAGUGGUGAUUAACAUUCACUAAUACUGAUUGAUUUCUAAGUCAUACAAUUGAAAUGGGGGUUAAGGUGAACCUGUUAGUUCUGGAUCCUUGGUGGUGGUAUCAAUCUCCUUGAGGUUUAUUCCGCUAGGAAAAAGAGAGAACAGUGAAAUCAUUUUUUUCAUUUCACAGAUGAGUUUAGAAUAGAAAAAGGGAGGUGACUUACCAUAUCAUCUGCAAUAAAUAUUUAUUGAUUUGGAGCUGUAGAAAUUUAGUUGAAACCAAUUUCAUGAAGUUUGUAAGAGAUUAAAGUGUCUUAGUGAAAUUUGAUGGAUGUUCCAUGGCAAUAAUGGCUUCCACAACUUAAUGCAACAACCAGAUGAGGUUGGAGUAGCAAAGAUUGAAACCAUAGUUGCCUCUCCGUGAUGUCUUUCAGCUUUGAGUUUUAUCCACACAUUCCUUUUCCUGCUUACAUUUUCUGUUUUUGGUCUUUUCAGAUGUCUGGAUAUAUUUGUUGCUUUUGUUUUGGACCCGGGUCUUGCUUAACUUGGGCCAAUUUGUACAUAUCUUUUCUGCUCCUGAAUAAAUUGGGCUCUGGUCCAUCUUCAAUUAAAAAAAAGGAAAAAUGACAUGGACUGACCAGUUUAAAAAAAGGAAAUUUUGCAUAUAUACCGACAUGUUUACUCUUAAUUACCAAAAAUUUCAACAUUUUUCAAAAUCUCCAAAAAUUCCAACAUUUGACCUCUGAUAAUACAAGUUAAUCACAUUAGAUACAUACUGUUGAUAUAUGUAUCUAAUGUGAUUAACUUGUAUCAUACAUUAGAUAUAUGUAGGGUUACAUUAGAUACAUGUAGGGUUACAUUAAAUACAUGUAGGGUUAACUUGUAUCUCAAAAAUAGUCCCAAAUAUGAAAUGUUGGAAUUUAUGUAAUUUUUCAGAAGUAGGGGGAUUUUUAGAAAUUUUGAAAGUUAUGAUGUUUAUUUAUGUAAUUUUUUGUUAAAAAGAAAAAAAAUAGCCCACACUAUGAAAAUAUGGACAAUUGGAGCCAGUAGACCCAAUUUAUUUCCUGUUUUUUCAGUCAUUUGGCCCAAAACUAUUCUCCUUACACAAUUAAGGGGAUUAAAUACUCUUCACAGUAGGCUACUCUUAAAUCACUUUUCUUUUCAAACUAUACUUUCCCAAAAAAAUGUUCACCUCUAUUAUGUGUCGAUCAAUCUACUGUGUUUUGUGAUAACAAUUGAGUUAGUAGGGCACAUGCAGUCUCUAUACCCAAUUGAUACACUUUUGUACCAUAUUGAUACAUGUUUAUACCCAAUUGAUACUCUUUAUACUACAUUGAUACACUUUUAUACUCAAUUGAUACUCUUUUAUACUAGAUUGAUACACUUUUAUACCACGUCGAUACAGUAUGUAUAUUACAUAAAUACAUCUUUUACAGAGGAAAUUUGUGCAAGCAUAUACAGUAACAAUACCAAAUUAAUACAGUAAAUCAAAAUUAGUAAGUACGAACAUAAUUGAUACUCUUUAAAAUUAUAGUAUUAAUAGUACAUAAAGUAACAAAAAAAAAGAUCAAAUCAUCUUUCCAUCAAUUAUUGUUUUGAUUUAGUUCAUUCUUUCUCCUUAACGCUCUUUUAUAUUUCUAACUUCCUCUUCCUACCUUUAUUUUCUCUUCUUUUUUUCUUUCCUUCAUUACUAAGUUAGUUGUAAACACCCAUAUGAUGAAGUAUGUAUUUACUCUUGAGUUGAUGUCAUAUUUAUCCUACUAAGAAAAAUCACAGGUUCUGUAAGGAAUUGUCUAGACAUGGAGUACAUAUAAAAAUUUAUUCUGCCACUUGAAAAAAACCUGUAAAAAACUAAUUAAAUUCAGAUUUUUUGAGAUUUUAUACAAAAUUUAUGAAAUGAGAAAGGUAAAUUGGAGUAUCGAAAAAAGGUAAAGGAACAAAUAUUUAGGAGUUUGAAUGGAAAGGAAACUGGGAAUGAAAAGAAAAGAAAGAAAGGGAAAGUUACUUCAAGGAUGUUUUUGAUUUUGUUUAAGCGUAUGACAGUGAAGGUUAGUUAGUGGAAUUACUCUGUGUCUAUUUAUGAUGUAUUUAAUUUUGACUGCUAUUUUUUUAUAUUAUUUUAGUUUUAGGUGUUAUUUCUGUCAUUUGCCCAAAAAAAAAAACUUACUAUUUUACUACAAUUCUUGUUGGUAAGAAUACAUUAUUUCUUUUUUUUUUUUAGGGCAAACAACAUAAAUUUCGAGAAUUUGGAGCUUAAUUACAGAAAAUUCUGAUAUUUUGCAUAAUUGUUGAAAAUCUCAAUUUUGGAUCUGUUGAGAUACAUUAUUAGCUUCUGAUACAAUCAAAAAGAUACAUUUUUAACUUUGUAUAGAUAUAUAAUUAGCUUCCGCUACAUAUUUUUUAAAUUUUGCGUUUGUUGAGAUAUAUAAUACAUCCAAUGAAGAUAUAUUUUUUUCUUUGUAAAGAUAUAUAAUUAGCUCCCAGUGCAGUUUUUUUAUUUUUGGGUCUGUCGAGAUACAUAAUAAGCUUUCGAUACAUCCAACGAAGAUAUAUAAUUAAUUGAGCUUUUUGUAGUUAUUUUGUAAGAGUGAAAAUUUUGUAUAAAUAUAAUAAGUUAAGAUGUAUAUUUAUACUAUUUUUCCAUAAUUUGCUUGCGAACCAAAUCGACCACUAAAGAAUUGAAAAGUUAAACAAUUUGUUCCCAAUACAGAACAAACUUUAGCCUAAAAUUUAAUGCUAAAAAUUACUACAAUGAGCUGAGUGGCUGAAAUGGUGCCACUUAAGAAUAAUUUGGUGGAUGAAAUGAAUGAAUUGUUUUGGAGUACAAAUUUUGAUUUAGACAAUCUAUUGAAAUUUAUUAUAGUACUGUUUAUAUUUAGGGGCCAUUUUUCAGGAUCUAUGAAAAAUUUAUAAUGUUGAGUAGAACAUACUAUAAAAGUAAUGUUGGAUAGAGCAUAUCACACAUUAGCACAAUCCUAAUCAAUAAUGAUAGCUAUUCAUCUCUAGUUCACUUUUAUAGUUAAUCAAAGAAUUAUUAACAACGAAAAUUAAUUUUCUUGUUUUGGUUUUCUAUCAUUGAAUCAGCAAUAGUUUGAUAUAAGAACUAUUCAGAACAGACUAAAUUAAAGAGAAAGAUGGAAUACCGUCAAUGAAAAUAAUAGGAUAUGAUAUCUUCAAAGAUAAAGAAGGCAGUGAACUUUUUACACAUAUAAUACGUAUAAUUAUUAAAGAAUAUAAAAGAAAUUAAAAAAAGGACAUACAGUACAUAUAUAAACUGGAAAAGAAGAUCAAUAAUGUAAAAGUUUGAUGUUAACACUGUUCCUUAAUUAAAAUUUCCAUAAUGAUUAUACUCGCUAUUUUCUUUCAUUUGCACAAAUCAAUAUGCUCCUUUCCCCCCUUUUUUUCUCCUGAUCACUCCUUAAAGAACGAGACAUAUAGCAUACAUAGAGAAGAGAGUACUUUGUCUCCCUCAAUAAAUACCUUGAGAAAAAAAUGUAACUCAUUAGUAGUUUCUUGAUUUUGUAAAAUUUUCUUUAUUUAAAAAAGAGUAACAUUGGAAGAAGGUCAUUAGUAUCUUUUUUAUUAUCUAAAACAACAUUUAUUAUCUUUUUUAUUAUCUAAAACAACAUUUAUUAGGAGCAAAAUAAAAAAGCUAAACAACCACUUAUUAGAAACAGAGGGAGUACUAAUUAUCUGAUAGUGUUUUCAGUGUUACGCAUCAUGAACUAAAAGCUUAAUUUAAGAAGCAUUGACUGCUUAAUGAAAUCUUUUAAUUCACAAUGAUAAUAAGGAAAUCCAAUUUGUGUUGUAUCAUUCUAGCCUUUCCAUUUUUUAUGGAGACAAAGCAUUAAUAGACAAAUGGAGAUUGGACAUAUCAAGAUUUCAGUCUCAUCCUGUCAAAUCAUUAAUUGUAAAACCUUCAUGUAUUUCUAUGUUCAGCCUAAGAUAUUAAGGGGUUAAUAUUCUUUCAAAACAUGGAGAGUUUCUGAUAUUGGGAGACAUGGUUGUUUGUCGAAUAUAUUUAUUUCUCAAUAAUUGAAAUAUAUAAUUGUAUUUGAUGUGAAGAAAGUAUUAGUUAAAAUGCAGUUUGGUUCAUUUUGGCUAGGGAUUCCAUCCUUUCCAUGUAUAAAAGUUUUUGAAUGUAAGGAUGAGAAAUCAAGGUAUCUGCUACACUUUUUUUAUAUAUACGUGUAGCGCAUGUAUCGAGAAAUUAGUAAAAGAAAAAAAAAAUUCCUCAGCUAAUUCUCAAUCAACACCAACUCCAUCUUAGGAAAGUGUGGUUGGUUCUGUUCUUCCUCGAAUUCAAUGAAUUUUUGUCAUAUUGUCAUACAUAUAACGAAUAAUAUAUAUAUNNNNNNNNNNNNNNNNNNNNNNNNNNNNNNNNNNNNNNNNNNNNNNNNNNNNNNNNNNNNNNNNNNNNNNNNNNNNNNNNNNNNNNNNNNNNNNNNNNNNNNNNNNNNNNNNNNNNNNNNNNNNNNNNNNNNNNNNNNNNNNNNNNNNNNNNNNNNNNNNNNNNNNNNNNNNNNNNNNUAUGCCUCUUUUCCUCUUUAAAUUUUAAAGUAAUAAUUAAGAAGAAAAAAGAAGAAGAUACUAUUCAAUAAUUUAAUUCUGAUACCAUCAACAUGGAAGACUCCAUUUGCUUCAUCUAACAAUGGACUUUGGCAUUAUAUAAUUAACAAAACAAUUAAUUAUUAGGAUAACUUAAUCACCGACAAAGGUUUCUUACUAUUAUCCUUAUGAGAUUCCACUAGUUAAGCUAAAUAUUUUUAAUCGACGUAAGAGUUAUGAAUGUAUAAACAAGUAGAUCUUAGCUACAUUGACCUAGUCAAUCAUUAUUAUUACCGACAUAUUUAUGCUAUACAAAUAUUUGUCCUAAUGCUAUCUUUUAUUUAUUUUUUUAAUGGAAAAGGGUCAAAAAGAUUCCUGAAUUAUUCGAAGUGGAGCAAAAAUAUCCCUCAUUAGUUUUUUGUCUCAAAAGUAUCCCUCUCUAAUGAAAUAACACCAAGCAUGUCAUGUAGACAAAAUACGUCACUUGAACAGUUCACGUCAGAUCGACCAUCUUUAUUAAAGGUGAAUGCUCCAUUAAAUGAGAGAUUUUCCAUGUGGAUAUUGGCGCCUAGCGUGGACUGUUCAAGUGGCGCUUUUUGUCCACGGACAUACUUAGUAUCAUUCUGUUAGAGAGAUGAAUAGUUUUGAGCCAAAAAUUUAAUGGAGGAAUAGUUGUAAGCAAAAAAAUUAACGAAAGAUAUUUUUACUUUAUUUCAAAUAAUUUAGGAAUAUUUUUAAUCGUUUUUUGCUUUUUUAUGAUUUCUAAGUUGCUUAUAAUUUUUUUAUUACUACAUGAUUAACAAUAUUUUUUUAUUUCCAUAAAUAACAGAGAGUAAACUAAGUUGCACCUUAAUGGUCGAAAAGUAUUCACUAUUUUUUUUAGACUUAAAGAGGUGAUUCUGAUACAUGUCUUAUGAACAAUCAUUACAAAUUUUAUUAUUUUAAAUUUUGUUUUAGAUAAGUCUAUGAUUAAGUUGUUGGUGACCAAUUUAUUCAAUUGAGUGAGGCUGGCAUGUCCAAAGAUUUUAGGACGAAGAAACGGGUUAUUAUGUUAAUUAGGUAGAUUUAUUUUAGGGAGAAAUAAGACAUAUGCUUUAAUUUGUAAAUAUUAAUAAGUAUUUUUCCAUUUAAGCAUAGCUUCUUUUAAAUUUAAAUUAGUAAUCAAACAGUGUUUAGUAGUAUUUUCUACCUUGUUGGCUUUGUCACACAUUUGAGAGAUGCUAAAAAUGUGUAUUAAAAAAAAAAUAAGAUGGAAAGAGAAGCAUACUGGCUCAAAGGUAAAGCCGCUAAAACGUGCUUUAAGGUUCAAAAAUAGUAUUUUUAUUAUAUAAUUAGUCUCUCCUAUGUUUUACAGUUUAUAGUCUAUAUGCAAUAAAUCAAAUUCUAUUAUAUAAUUUUUUAUAUAAAAAUAAAAGUUUCUUUAAAGUUAUUAAAGGAUGUCCAUUUGUUGUAAUAAAAUACAUUGAUUUUGGUUCUCAGAAUCCUAUUGGUACAUAAUAAACUUUGGCUAUUUUAAUUCAAAGUUUUAAAAUAUCAAAUACAAUUCUAUAAUCUUUAACUAAAAAUUUAAAAAUAAGAUUAUUAAACUUCCGAUGAUAUGAUUGUAUAAGAAAAUAAUAAACAUUUUAAAAUGUUAUUGUAACUUUAUAUAAUACAUGUAACAGUAUUUUUCUAGUGAUUAUAAGAAGAAUUUUAUUGAAAAAUCAAACGUAAUUGUAACUUGCGGUAUUGAAAGUAAAAUUUGAUGGCGAGGAAAAUAUGAGUCCAUUCUUAUGUCAUUAAAAUUUAUAAACCUUUUUAUUAAGAUGACUUGAAAAUGGUAUUUAACUAUAUAUAAUUUAUAAUUUUUUAAUUAUCAUAAAUAAAAUAUUUCAUUUUCGUGAUAUUUUAGUUUGGAUUGCUUUCUAUCUAUCAUUAAUGACAAAAUACAUCGUCAGACCCCUUAAAUUGACACCAUUUUUCACUUUGGCAUCUUAAGUGGACAUUGUUCACCUUUGGCAGUUCAAAUAACCAUAAAGUGUAUCAUUUUGACAUCUUUCGACAUCAAUAAAAGUGUGUGUUACACUCACUGUCAACGUGGAUAAAACGGCCAACUGAUUUAUGCCAAUUCAUUUAAAUUGCCACAUCAUUAUUUAUAUUCACAAUUAGUUUUAAAAAAAAUAAAAUCAAAACAUAUGGCAAUUAAUGACAUAAUUAUCUAACUCAUUAAUAUAUAUACAAAAUUAAAUUAAAAGAAUCAAUUAAUUACUGACACGUGACAUUUUUCAAAAUAAUUAUAAAAUUAUUUAUUUUAUUUGGACAACCCUCCACCCACCUCCCACCCCCAAACUCCAAAGUCAUCUUCUCUACCACCAUCUAUCCCCCCGAUACCCCCCACCCUAAAUCAUCUUCUCUAUUUGGCAACACCCCUCUUCCCGUCAUGUUCUCCAUCUCCCUCCCCCCCCACCACCCCCAACCCCUGCCUGAGUCAUCUUAUCCUCUCCAUUUGCCCCUUUGAAAAGAUGAACACUCAAUCAAAGAUUAUAGUAUAUAUGUAUAUCAAAGACCUUGAUUAGUCAUAGCUUGACCUCAAAAAUUAGAAGGCAUUAAAUGACUGUUUUUUUUCUUAACAAAAAAUAAAAAAGAAAUGAUUGACCUUGAAAUAUAUUCAUCAGUAGUAUGUGUGAACCUAUUCUUUGGCAACGCAGUGGUCUUCUUACUACUUCAGUUGCAGUCAUAACAUGUUGACAAAGAUGGUGAUUGCUCAACAACAAAUCACUCGUUGUUGUUAGUGUGUUAGUGUGUUUCGUUAUUCUUGAAAAGUUCAACCUCCAUUAAUGGAAGUUAAGCUAAAGAAAGGUUGUGUGAAGAAGGCAAUGUGAGGAAAUUUUUUGUAAUUAUUUGGUCAAUAAAACAUGUGCCAUUAAUUUAUUGGAUCAAUUUUUACUGAUUUGGCAAUAGAGAUUUUCAAUAGUUUUAAAAAAAAUUUAAAGAUGAAAAAUUACAAAAAUAUCCCUAAAAAUUUAUGAAAAUACUCUUCAAACGCUCCAAAAAGUGAGCAACGUCCACUUGAAGUGCCAAAAUGAAAGAUAGCACCAAGUUGAGGACCGACAAUAUAUUCUUUCUUCAUUAAUUAGUGCAUGUACUACUCCUGUACUCCAUUGGUUUUGAUUUUUUCUUGUUCCUGCACAUUAUUUCUCCUUUUUUACUGUCUAUAUAGUACUAUUUUUUAACUUAGUAUGUUGAAAUUAAUUAUUUUUUAUUUGCAUAUGAAAAAGAAAUACUUAACUAGAUUGAUUCUUAUUCGUAUAUAAAAAGUUAAAAUAGUGAAAUUCAAGAAAAAUAUAUGAAUUUUAUAUUUGGCUUUAGAUGGCUAAUUAUAUUAAGCCGCCCUUGAAGGGACGGUGAAUUGUAAUAUUUUUUGUGGUUGACUAUGAGGCGAGCUAUAAUAUGAAAUCAAAUAAGUAACAUAGUAUAAUUAUGUGCUAAGUAAUGUGUCAUAUGAUAUUUUUCAAUUGAUUUGAAUUCAGUGUGAAUUAUAGUUAGUCCUUCCUUUUGGAUUUUUGUUAAACUGAAAUUUUCAUUUUUAUUACAUAGAGAGAGAAGUUAUAAAAAGGAUGAUUACAACGUGUUGUAACUUUUCAGGACGAAGAACAACAAGUCAUUGUUUUAUUAAAGAGGGAUUGUCCCUUGUCCAUAUCAGCUUUCAAGAAAAUAACAGAACAAAUGUUGAAUCUACUACUAUGAGAAAUUCAUCAUUUGUUUUGUUGGAGUUAGCCAAUGUCUGCUUUCUCCUUCCUAAUCCUAAAAUUAGCCAAACCAACUUUAUCCAACCUAUAAGUCCUUUAUAUUCAUCAUUAAGCUCUUGAAAUUGUUGUUGAGUACAAUGUUGAGGGUGUACUUAAUUUCUAAUCAUACAAUAGCGGUCUUUUUCACUCUUUGUAGUUGAUAUAUUGCCUCACCAAACACUAUUUUCCUCUCUUCGCUCUUUUUAAAUACACAAUAAAUGAAUUAGGAAGUUACAAUGCUUGUUAAGAAUAGCAUAGAGCUUUGGAGAAUGUUUGGACAGGAUGUACAGUUUCUUUUCCUAGAAGGCAUAUAUAGUCUUUGUGUGCUUGAUGUCUUGAAAAAGGAUAGAGAAAGACAAUCCAUACUACAUGAAAAAUAUUGAAUUGAGACAUAAUAUUUAUCAAUGGACAAGUCUGGCAUAGAGUUUAAACGGAUUUGUGAUAGAAUUAACUAAUUUAUAGUGUUGAUUUUAAUUUUUUCAAAAAUAAAUCAUAAAAUAGAUUGCCUAGCUUGACGUGUUAUGUGAUAUUAUGCAUAGAUUAAGUCCAUUGGAGGUUGUCUGAUUAGAGAAUCGGACAAUGCUUAGCAUGGGAAUUUCAUUGAAUAUGGAGCUAAGUGAGACUUUAAUCUCUCAUUUACUUGCUUUUUCAAAAGCAUUAUUUAAAACUGAGAAAUCGCUUCAAACUACUCCUCCACCCCAUUUUAGUUGGGCACAUUCUAUUUUAUACGGUGAUUAAGAAUCAUAAAUUGAAUGAUAAAUUUUACGAUCUUACCCUUUACUCAUAUUAAUGUUAUUCGUUGGGCAUAAGAAUGAACAUUGAAAUUGAAAUUGUUAACAUUUAAUAUAUACUAAAAAUUGUAGGGGAAAAAUAAAAAAAUAAUUAAUUUUAUCCUAAUUUAGUAAGUGGUCUUUUUUGGUGGGCUGAAACGCAUUAAAAAGAAAUAGCGGAGUAUUACAGUAGCACCUGGAUUAACCAGGAUCUACAAAAUUUGAGUUUGAGCUUAUGCCCUCUAAUGAAACAUUACAACACCUUGUUUGCCUAAUGAAACUAGUUCCUAGGAUGUCAGCCCAGGUAGCUUUGCAGCAUACAUUGGAGGAAUUACAAAAGAGUUUCUCUGUCCACAAACUUUCAGUCUUGCUCCUUCCUUAGCUAAUGCAUCCUUCACCAUAUUCUGCUCUUUAUAGCAGUGCUGGAUUUGUGGUCGUCCCAGACUCCUGAUUAGCAACCUGCAUCCAUUAAUUAUGGCAUUAUAGUGGAGGUUUCCCUCUUUGAGCAUAAUAAUAACCUUUUUCGAGUCUACAUUGAUGUCCACGGGAACUAAGGACAUUUCCUCCAUAAUUUUUAGUCCCUUUAGUUGAGCAAAGAGCUCCAUCUGGUUAUUAGUAAUCACAGGGAAAACUUUUUUGAAACCUGUAGUCCAAUUCCCUUCAUUGUCUCUAAUAACCCCUCCAAUACCACCCCUACCAGGAUUUCCCAAACAUGAGCCAUCAGUGUUAAGUUUAAAUCUUUCUUUAGAGGUUGGUUCCCACUUAACACUAAUGUUCAAUAAUCUAUUUGUCACGACCUGAAUCAAGGUCUGGCCGUGAUGGGCAUCCCUAGCCAACCAAGGUCGGAGAUGACCCCUAACCUUACCUCAAGAGCACAUCAGUAAAAACAAACAACAAAAUCCAACCAAGAUAAAAAGAGAAACAUAUGAUUCCAAAAGAAAGUUAAGAGUCAAAACCAACUCCAUAAUAAUAUCCCGACACUGCCUACAAAAGUCUCUAAUCCAAAAAUACCAACUAAGUCAAGACAUGUCCCCGACUAUAACAAAAGAAAUUCAAAAGUUCUGAAAUGAUAAAUGUAACUAAGAAAGAGGCCAAGUCUUUUGAUAGUUCAUAAGUUGGUUGAACUUGUGUUGAACUUAUUGUGGAUUAAAUACAAAUUUUGUACCCAGAAUAACAAUCUUAAGGAAUUUAUUAAUAAUUUUAAUUUUUGAGUUUCUAGAGAUUAAAACUUUUUGCUUUCUACGCUGUUUGAACUUUAUAGUGAUUUGAAGUUAUAAAAACUUCAUCACGGGUUAAUGUUCAUUCAGUUGAUGAUUAGAAGAACAUAAAAGCUUCAACAUUAAACUAGAAAUAAGUUGUUUAAAGUUUUUAAAACUUUAUUCUUAGUAUUUUGACUUACUAAAUUGGUUGUCUUUUUGUCACAGUAAAAAUGAUUAUUGAAAAUCAAGUUAAUGAUGGAAUGGUCAAUGUCACAACAACAAAUAUUGCUACUUAAAAUCGUUCAAAUGCUGCUCCGCCAAGGCACUGACAGAAAAAUCAGAAAGUUUUCUAGUGUGGAUUUUAAAAGAUGGCAGCAGAAGUUGUUCUUUUAUCUGACUACAUUAAAUCUACAAAGGUUCAUCACUGAAAGCAUUUCAGAGUUUUCGAAAGAAAUAUCCAAAAAUAUACUUUAUUACUACAAAAGCUUGAAAGCACUUGAAUUUUUUAUAUAAGAACUACAUACUGAGUGGCUACAACAUGGCAUGUACAAUGUGUACAGCAAUAUGAAGACCUCUAAGGAACUAUGGGUAGCUUUGGAAAAGAAGUACAACAUAGAGAAUGCAUGAAUGAAGAAAUUUAUUAUUGCAAGAUUUGUAGAUUUUAGGUGGUAGACAGUAAUACUGUAGUUACCCAAGUUCAAGAACCGCAAGUCAUCAUUCAUGAUCUCCUCACCAAAGGUAUAAAUUUGUUCUUGAUACUUACAUAGUCUCUGAUGUAGGCUUAAUUGUGAACGAGGCUUAUCAAGUAGCUGCUAUAAUCGAGAAGUUACCACAUUUGUGGAAAGACUUCAAAAACUACUUAAAGCACAAGCACAAGGAGAUGUCUUUCGAAGACCUUAUUGUGAGGUUAAGAAUCGAAGAGGACAAUAAAGCAUCAGAAAAGAGGUCUCGAUGGAAUUUACAAUAAGUAGAGAAAAUAUUGUGGAAGACGACCCCCAAUAAAUUAAAGAGAGAAAGGAAGCGUCAGGACAAUAAGGCAAUCCUCCUAAGAAGAAAUUCAAAGAAAAUUAUUUUAACUGUGACAAAGUUGGCCACAAGUCUUCAGAUUGUCAGGCUCCUAAGAAGGACAAGAAAAGAGGAUCAAGCUAACAUGGUUGAAUCCAAGAUGAUGUGGAGAUCUAUGUGCUAUGCUUUUGGAGUGCAUGUUGGUUGAAAAUCCUAGAGAGUAGUGGAUUAAUUCAGGUGCCACUAGCCACAAUGUGCCAACAAAAAAUUAUUUCCAUUAUAUUUUCUGGCUCAGGCUAAUGAGAACAUAUUCACGGUAACUCUGUUACGGUAAAGAUUGAAGGAAAAUGCAAGAUUUACUUGAAGAUGACAUUGGGCAAGGUGGUGACACUAAACAACGUCCUUUAUGUUUCAAAGUUGCGAAAGAACUUAGUUUCUACUUCACUUCUAACUAAAAAUAGAUUCAAAUAAGAAUUUGUUUCUGACAAAGCUGUAAUUAGUAAGCAAGAAGUGUAUGUAGGUAAAGGUUACUUCAUCGAGGAUUUUUUUAAGAUCAGUGUAAUAAAUGUUGAAAUCAAUAAAAAUUCUGUUUCUUCUUACUUACUUGAGUUAAAUGAAUUAUGGCAUGAACAUUUAGGACAUAUUAAUUACAAAACUUUGCAAAAACUGAUUAAUUUAAAAAUUUUGCCUAACUUUGAGUGUAAUAAAUCAAAUUGUCAAACAUGUGUGGAAUCUAAGUAUGCUAAGCAUCUAUAUAAGUCUGUUGAAAGGAAUUUCAAUCCCUUAGACUUAAUCCACACAAAUAUUUAUGCUAUGAAGUCAAUACCAUCUCAUGGUGAGAAAAAGUAUUUCAUAACUUUUAUUAAUGAUUGCGCUAGAUAUUGUUAUUUUUAUUUGCUAAAUGAUAAGAAUAAAGUAAUAGACGUAUUUUGGUAAUAUAAAACUAAAGUUGAAAACCAGUUGGAUAAAAAGAUCAAAAUAAUAAGAAGUAAUAGGAGUAGAGAGUAUGUAUCUUCUUUUGCAGGGGUAUGUUAGAAAAAAGGAAUUAUCCAUCAAACUAAUUUCCCGUAUUCACCUCAAUCAAAUGGGAUUGUGAAAAGAAAAAUUGAAUGUUAAAGAAAAUAAUAAUUGUCUUACUCAUAAGUUCAGAUAUACCGCAAAACUUGUGGGGGGAAGUUAUCCUUACAGCAAAUCGAAUACUCAAUAGAGUUCCCUAUAAGAAGACACACUCUAUCCUAUAUGAAAAUGAAAAGGAAGGAAACCCAACUUGAAAUAUUUCAAAGUGUGGGAUUGUCUAGCUAAAGUCCAAGUCUAUAUACCUAAAAGGAUAAAAAUAGGACCAAAGAUUGUGGAUUGUGUGUUCAUCGUAUAUGCUACAAGGAGUAAAGCAUUUCAAUAUUUGGUUCAUAAAUUCGAACCAUGAAAAUACGAUAAUCUGAAUCAGAUAAUAUUAAGUUCUUUGAAUACAUUUAUCCGUAUAAAAUUGGACAUGAGAUGUCUAGUGGAGGAUCUAAACAACCUCGAGAUGAACCAAAGGAGAAUGUACUUAAUAAUGAGAAUCAAGGUGUAGUACACGUCAAAUACCGUCAAUUUUCUUUGGAUAAGAUUUUGUAACAUUUCUUCUUGAAAAUGAGCCUUAAAAAUUGAAAGAAACGAUGUCGUCUUCAGACCCAUCCUUUUGGAAAGAGGCAAUCAAUGGUGAUAUAGAUUCAAUCUUGAGCAACCAUACUUAGGAAUUGAUUGAUCUUUCUCCGGUAAAUAAACCUUUAGGUUCUAAAUGGAUCUUCAAAAGGAAAAUAAAAGCUAGUGGUACUUUUGACAAUUAUAAGACAAGACUUGUUGUGAAAGAUUUUAGACAAAAAGAAGGCCUUUAUUAUUUCGAUACAUACUCGCCAAUAACAAGGAUAACGUUCAUUCAGAUGUUGGUUGCGUUGACGACAGUAUAUGAUGUUGAAAUUCAUCAAAUGGAUGUGAAUACAACGUUCUUAAAUAGAGAAUUGAAGGGAGAAAUUUACAUAAAACAACCUAAGGGUUUUGUAGUUUCUGGUAAAGAAAAGAAAUUGUGCAAACUUGUUAAAACACUUUAUGGAUUAAAACAAGCACCCAAAUAGUGGUAUAUAAAAUUUGACCAAACCAUGUUGGCAAACGAUUUCAGGAUAAACGAAUGUGAUAAAUGUGUUUACAUUAAAGACACUCCAAAUCACAAAGUCAUUAUUUGUUUGUAUGUGGAUGACAUGUUGACCAUCAGUAGAGACAUUCUAACAUAAAUGCUAUGAAAUAAAUGCCUGAGGGCAAGUUUGAUUUGAAAGACCUUAGAGUUGCUGACGUAAUCUUAGGGAUAAGAAUUUUUAGAACUCCAUAGGUAUUGGCGUUGUCACAGUCGCAUUACAUUGAAAAGGUGUUUGACAAGUUCAAGCAUUUAGAUUUCAAUAUUGUUGAGACUACAUUAGACAUGAGUUUUGCAUUUCAAAAGAAUGAAGGUGAAAGUAACUCACAGUUGGACUAUGCAAGAGUGUUGAAAAGUUUGGUGUAUAUAUCAUAAAUUGUACGUGAGAAGACAUAGAAUGCACUAUUAGUAAAUUAAGUCGGUAAAAGACUACUCCUAAUCAAACUCAUUGGAUGGAUAUGAAAAAAGUUUUAGGGUAUCUAAAACAUACCCAAGACUAUGUUUUUAUUAUAACAAAUAUCCAGCGUAGAUGAGGUGACUUUUCAAAAUAAUGUAAUUUUUCGUGAACCAUUACUUUCUUUCUGAAGCACCACAUUGUGGCUAUAAAUGCCUGAAUUUUUCCUCUGAUAAAGGUAUGAAGAUUUGAAGGGAAAAACAUUUUCUUUUUCUUCUUAAAACUCUGGUAUGAUCUUCAAACUAUUGAGUGAGUUCGUUGUUCAGAAAAUUUGAGGUACCACUAUUUUUUGAAGAGAAUCAUUUUUCGUAGGGAGGAUAUAUUCCUUUAACCUCGAGUACUUGACUAGAAUAAUUUUUUUAAGGAUACAUCGUGAAUUCAGUGGAUUUGACUCAAUCGUUUCUGUCUUCAUCCCAUUUUCUUAAAGUUGGUUUUAUUAUUUUUCCAGAAAAAUAGUUUGAACAUUAUAUUGAUAGUUCUUCAUUUGUUUGAACUUGUGUUUGAAGUUUUUGAAACUUCAUUUUGAUAGGUUAUAAGUUGUUGAACUUGUGUUGAAGUUAUUGUGGAUUAAAUACAGAUUUUGUACAAAAAAUAAUACGAAAUAGCUGUGAAACCUUGGGGAGCGACCAACUAAAAGAAUUUGCACCGAAGUCGAUCCGAAAUCACUUUCAAAGUAAUGGCUUACCACGACACAAUAUUUUCAGUUCCAUAUUAAUAUUAGAGUAAUUUUUCCAACAAGUGGCAAAGUUUGUUAUUUAACUACAAAAUUUGUUCGUCAACAAAUCCUUGUUUUUCUUUUGUUGGGUAGUAUAUUUUGGUUUUAUCUAAUCAAUCUAUUGACAAGCUAAGCGCCUACGAAAACGAUGUAGAUGUUCUACCUACGGGGGCGGGGGGGUGUCUAUUACAAUUACAAAAAUAAACUGAAUGUUGAGUUUCAGUUCCACUAACACCUUGCAAAAGUGAAUUACCCAUGAAAGAUGGGGGUAUUAUAUCAAAAAAAAAAAACAUAUCUUUUGUUGUUUUCUAAUUUCUAACGAUAUAUUUUUGAUCCAUUGCUUUCCCAUAGUAUGCUAACUUGACAGCCACUUUUUUUUGCUUUUCUAUAUACGUGGAACACUUUUUUUUUCGUCAAAAUGCGAAUCAUAAUUUAAUCCGUCAAUUUUUACUAAAUUGUAAUUGUCUUUUUUUUUUUAUAAACAGAGAUAGCAGGUAACCCAAGAAAAAAAAAUGUCUAGCAGAACAUAUUACGCAUCCUCGAAACUACUAUGACCUAUAAAACUAGAUGAUAAAAAAAUUGGUUUUAUCAUACUGGCACACUUGUAGAUGUUCCAUAAUUCAUGUAAAUUUACUUCAGAUGAAUUGUAGUUUUUGUGUUCAAAUUCAUAUAAAAACGAAAUGAUUUAAGUUUCGUUCUUUGAAUAUCGCCAUACAGAAAUAAAAUAGAACAAGGGGAGUACUUUUCUAGGUCUCUAUUUGAUAUUUUAUCAGUAACAAUUUGAAAAUAGUCAUAACUCAUACACGUAGUAGUAGGUGGAAAUGUUUCUGAUUGAAUUCGGCAUAAAAAUAUUUUUAUGGAAAAAAAGUUUCUUCUAGUUUUGGUUUAUAAGUGGAUCAAUUUUUGUGGAAAAAAAGUUUCUGCUAGUUUUGGUUUCUAAGUGGAUCAUUCCCUAGCGCUCUACUAAAUGAUUUAAUUUUAUAUAAAGAAGAUGAAAUUAUAAGAAAAAAGAGAAAAAAGAAAAAGACUAGAGAUCUAAAGAAGGGAAAACUUAAAGUAUGUGGUAAUAACUUCUUUUAUUCAUCACAUAAUCUCUGCAUUUUGCAAGGAGAUUGAAACUGAGCAAACAUACACAAAGACAUAAAAGUAAAAAUACAAAUAUAAAUAGAGUACAAACAAUAUCACUAAUAACUUAGAGAACAUGAAGCUACAAAAGAACUUCGCCUCCCGUGGGGCUUAUUGUUUACUCUUUUUUCUUCUUUUUGGCAUUGCCUCUCGAAAUGGAAAAUGCCUUUCCUUGAGCUCAACAUUCUGCUUUUCCUGCAUAAGAAUAUAAUAUUGUCAAUGAGAACAUAUAGUAACUGAUUAAUAAACCUAAUAAGUAGGAGAUAGCAUAGGCUUAUAUAUUAAUGCGUUUGCAUGAAGAAAUUGUGCAACUUGUAUUGAUUUGCAUUUAGACAAAUCAUUUUUAAGAAUUUUAGUUUGGCUUAAUUACCUUAGAUUUGAUGUUGUUGUUUCUUAGUGAUGGUAGGGAGGAGGUGGAGACUUGUAAACCGGAGUUGGUGGUGGUGGAGACUUGUAUACUGGUGCAGGAUGGUGUGGUGUUGGUGAAGGAUGGUAUGGAUUCACUGGUGGUGGUGACUUGUAAACGGGUGUUGGUGGUGGUGGAGAUUUGUAUACUGGUGCAGGGUGGUAUGACUUCACUGGUGGUGGUGGUGACUGGUAAACGGGUGUUGGUGGUGGUGGAGACUUAUAAACUGGUGCAGGAUGAUAUGGCUUCACUGGUGAUGGUGGUGACUUGUAAACGGGUGUUGGUGGUGGUGGAGACUUAUAAAUUGGUGUGGGAUGAUAUGGUGUUGGUGGAGGAUAGUAUGGCCUCUUAGGUGGUGGUGGUGACUUGUAAACUGGAGUUGGUGGUGGUGGCGACUUGUACACUGGAGUGUGUGGCGGGUAGUAUGGCUUUUUGGGUGGUGGUGGGGACUUGUAAACUGGAGUUGGGGGUGGUGGAGACUUGUAAACUGGGGUGUGUGGAGGGUAGUGUGGUGGUGACUUGUAAACUGGAGUCGGGGGUGGUGGAGACUUGUAAACUGGGGUGUGUGGAGGAUAAUGUGGCUUCUUUGGUGGUGGUGGGGACUUGUAAACUGGAGUGUGUGGAGGAUAGUGUGGCUUCUUCGGUGGUGGUGGUGACUUGUAAACAGGAGUUGGUGGUGGUGGCGACUUGUGAACUGGUGCGGGAUGAUAAGGUGUUGGUGAAGGGUGGUAUGGCUUCUUAGGUGGUGGUGGAGAUUUGUAAACAGGAUGAUGAUGGUGUGGUGGAGGGGACUUAUAUACUGGGUGGUGAUG
rnacentral:lncRNA from 1 species